GGAUGUGAGAUAGCACCUGUCUGUCACCACUGAUCAGGGGCAAUCUGGCUGGCUAGGAGGUGCCCCCUUCCUCCCUCACCACUCCCAAAGCUACACACUGGGUCAAAGAGAAUAGACAGAGAACUCUUUUUUGCUCCAAGAUGUGUGAGUAGCUGCACUCUUCUGCCAGAACCUCAAACAAGCUCCGCUUGCAGGAGGGUGGAGACCCGGCUUCAAGACUCCAGACACACCUGUGCUGCGUGCACAUGGUAGUCUGCUUUUCUC
rnacentral:snRNA from 1 species